rnacentral:lncRNA from 1 species
ACAAAUGGAGAUCGGACUUUCAUCAUUCUAGAUCGAGAAUUAUAAUGAUGAAGCCAAUACGAAAAAUCUCCAGACAAAUCUUGAUUUAUUGGAAGAAGUCCGUGAAAGAGCAUAAGUCUGGAUGGCAGCUUACCAACAAAAGAUGGCCCGAUAUUAUAACUCCCAUGUCAAAAAUAAAGAAUUCAAAGUCGACAACCUAGUCCUGCACCG